CCUCCACUGUGUCUGCACCCCUCUGUGACCCCAUCACUCUUCAAGGGCCUGGCACCCAGGAGUGCAUGGGGUGAGGGUGAGGAGGGAUCUCAGAAAUUUUCUGGCCCCCUCUCAUUUUACAGAUGGGAAAGCCAAGGCCCAGAGAGCUCGGGGGGCUGGCAUAAGGACACACUGUGAAGUGGGACAGCAUUGGGAAGCUGCAAGCCAAGCGAGGGACCUGAAACCAGGUCUUUGGUUUGAUCUCAGUGGGGAUCUGGGUUCCGGAAGGCUCUGAGAGCUGCAGCUACAGGCCACCCUGAAACACUUCUGGUUCCCAACUGCCUGCAGGAUAAAGUCUGAAGUCAUUUUUUUUUGGAGGAAGAUUAGCCCUGAGCUAAUGUCUGCUGCCAAUCCUCCUCUUUUCGCUGAGCAAGACUGGCCCUGAGGCCUGGGCCUCGGAGGACUCAGAAGGAACGGUGUGGCGUUGGUCAGAACAGUAUAUGGGACACAGAACUGGGCUUCAGACCCCUACAGAUGGAGUCUCAGCCUCUGUUCCCCUGUCCCUGUGUGGGCCUCUCAGAUUUCUGGCU
rnacentral:lncRNA from 1 species